CAUGUGUAUACACACACACAUACCUGAACACACAUAGGUGUAUGUAUAUUUUCCCCUCUGAGAAGUAGAAAAUAUUACUGUGAGGCUCUCGGGCCUCAAUCUCACACCAUGGUAACCAUCUGUUUGCAAGCUGAAAAUCUUCAGUCCUUCAACAAACACUAACUGCCUCUAGCUUAACUCUCUUUAACUCUAUCUAACCCUAGCUGUCUUAUUCCAGUAGCUCUCUGUCUCCUAAAAGCCUGAAAUAUAUAGACAUGUGGCCCUAAGGAUUUAGUGUGACUGAAAAGGAUUGUAUACGGGCACAUCAAUAUUUAUUAUUCUCCUUAAUGGUUUUGAAAACAUGAAAAUAGUUCUGCUAACUCUCAGGUUUAUUGACAAUAGCAAUAAAUACCUGUGCUCAGAGUACUAGUAUUCAUAAUUUAUCAAUAGGUCAACUGUCAAUCUGCUAUUGGCCAAGAAACCACUGGGACAAGAUAAUAAGUCCAUUAAUAAACAUAAAUAUUAUUCUACUAGUUGACCUUGUGGGAUUUCUAGGUCCAAGAAGCAAAAUGAAUUAGUUCAUUCACUUAUUCACUACAUAAAUAUUCACCAAACCUCUUACAUGUGUCAGGGCAGGGUACUUUGUUUAGCAUAAGAAAACAAGAGAGAGAAUCAGAAAUGAAUAAGCUAGAGAAAGUUCCAAAUUAGAGACUGUGGUGUUCUGUCUCCAAAAAUAAAAGAUUAAUUGUAUUGCAGGUAAGCAGAAAAGCUUAUGACACCAAAAGCAAGACAUAAGGAAUGUUCAUAUACAAUUCAACAUAUAUUCUUUGUCAUCUAUUCUGUGCCCAUUAAUCAUAAUGGUCUUGUGAAAAAUAUUUUGUAAAUCCUUAUUUUUGCAAAGCAUGUAACAAAGUUCUAUAUUCCAUUCUUGUUAUAAAGAUGGAGAAAUAUAGGUGGGGUAUUUUAAAUUGACUCAUACUUUUAGAGUGAAUUAUUCAACAAAUAUUUGUUUUCCCUAUACUAUAUACUUCCUGUUGUGAAACUAUCUACAUGAAAAAGACUAACUCUUGCCCGUUGGUGAGUUUAUAACCUAUCAUAGAAGGGAGCCAACUAUGAACAGAACACAAGGCAACAAGUAUUAAGUGGCAUAAAAGAUGUGCGGACAAAUGACUUUGGAAGUUCAGAGGGUGGAUAAAUUGUUCUGGAUGGUCAAGGAACACUAGGCAUUUCUUAUUUGAAUUAUCUAUUAUAGGAGAGGGAGAAUUUGAAGAGAGAGAGAUAUGAGUAAAAGAUAUUCCAGUCAAGGGGACUAUAUGGAGAAAUCCUGUAUGGAACAGAGAACUGUUCAAUUUGCCUACAAACCAGCCAUAUAGUCGUGGUGAUCUUGAACAUCAGAAAUUUGAACUUGGUACUGUAAGUCAUGGGAAUCAGUAAGGAUUUUGGAUUGGGGAAAGGCACCUAGUUCUUAUUGAUGCACUGGUAUUAGCUUGGAAAAGAGUCUGCACUGAUCAUCACCUUUGUCAUUUCUUGAAUGAAGAUGUAAGAAGCAUGGUGCCAGAAGAGGAAACUGAGGCUGGGGGAGAUAACAACCCAUGUCAGGUCACAAGAGCAGUUGACUGUAUAAUAGUUUGAACUAGGAUGACUUGAACUCAUGACUUGUUAGCGAUCUUUACGCUGCUAUAUCUGAUCUUUAUUAAUUUAUUAUGAAGCUAAGUCAGAAAACGUAGUUUCUCUAUUUUACUGAUGAGAAUGUUGAGGUCAAGCCACGUGUUCCGGCUCACGCAAGUAAGAAGGACAGAUGGGAACACAAUUGCAAUCAUGAGUCUUCGGAACACCUUAUGUUCACAUUCCCCCAUAGUGCCACAGACCCUCCUUUUCUUGUGAACUGGAUAAUCACAUACCCGCAGCCCCCUUCCCUUAUUGAUACCACCUUCAAAAAUUGAAGAAGUGUCAAAAUUGGGGAAGAAGAACACAGCAGGAUGUGUCAAGUGGAGCUGGUAUUGUCUGGGAAAAAUGGCUGACUGCACACUCUUCGGCUCACCCGGCUCGAACUCUUGCAUUAUGAUGAGACAGUAACAAGGCACCAUCUUGGAGAAGCAGAGAGCAGCUCUCAUCAGACACUGAACCUGCUGGCACCUUGAUCUUGAACUUCCCAGCUUGCAAAACAGCAAUAAAUAAAUUUCUUUAUUUAUAAAGCACCCAGUCUCAGGAUUUUAUCUUUUGUGGAACUACCUCCUGUAAGAGUUUUCUCCCAAGAUAGACUACAUGAAGGUCAGGUCUCUACAUUGGCUACGCCUGACUCUACACUGGCUUUUUAAACCUGGUCAUAUGUUGGUGUCUUGGUUGGAAUCUAGAGAAUGGAGUAGGGGAAUGAAUAGCUUAAAUCUGGAUUAUGCAUAUGGAAGACCCAAGCUAGGAGCAUUUAGGAAUCCUAAAUUAAGCCAGGAGUAAACAGCAGUGAGAUGGGUGCGGUUUGAUUCAGGUUUAUCUAAGCUAGUUGACUGAAAAAAUAUCUUGAAGAUUAUAAUGUCGGAGAAGUUGUGGGUGCAGAACUCCAUUUGUAAGAAAUUUGCUAGUGAAGGGGAGUCGAGGUAGUUAAAGCAAUGAGCAAAGAUUUCUUUUUUCAGGAAGUUAAGGGUGAUUGGAAGGAGAGAAAUGAUGUUAACUAAAGGAGCCAUAAGGUUAAUUAUUUUUAAUAGGAGAAUGAGAUGUGAGCAGAGUGAAUGGAGUGGGAAGGCUGAGGUUUGGAAAUGUGUAGGUCCAUUCUGAGACAAAGUGAAAAGAAAAUUAAUAAAAUGAUUAUUCUAAGAAAACUUAUUAAGGGAACAAAAGGUGAGGGGGCUGGGUUUUUUUUUUGGUAACUCCUUAGUUGAGGAGGUGGUGAAGGUAUAGAAGCUUUAGAAGGAUUCUCACUGGCUCUCUUUGCUUGGUUCAUGAAAGAAUUGUGACUGGAAAACUCAUAUUUUGUUACAUUAUUAAAUGUUUUGAUAGAAUUUUCUCGGGGGGGUGGCCUCACUGUAUCUAAACCCCACUCAACUAUAGAAUAAGAUAAUUCUAAUGGAAAUUCCAGGAAUCUCUCACCACAUAUGAUAUACGAGAAGUAGGAUGGAGUUGGGUUCAGGCUCCAUGCUUUUUGCCUCGGGAUAAUAUUUAUAAACAAGGAGUCCUACUCUGUCUCUAAAAAGAACAGUCAACAUAGUUUUAUGAGAGCUGCUUUUCUGGUAUAAUUACUCUAAUGUUGUAUUUAUCCUCAAGGUCAGUAGUGGCCAUUAAAAAAGCUGUCCCUUUCCCUGGAGAACAGCAUCCUCCCCCGACAAAUAAUUUCUGUUGGAAGAACAUUCUGUAAGUCCAUGUUCUCACUACAAAUAUUAUCCACUGUAGCACUGAAGGACGUUUUAAAAACAAAGUCCUUUUUGAUCUCUCUGAGCCAAAAUGUCUUAGACUUAAUUCCUUUUCCACAAAAUAAGAAACAUCUUUUGGAUUGAGGAUUAGUCUUGCAAUUCCUAAUCUCCUUCUUCACAGAUGUUUUUAUUUAGUUUUGGUCCCUGUGUCUGAAUGAGGGAUUUGAAUAGAUGGCCUCUAAGUUCCCUUCCAUUUCUAACAUGCUGACUCUUUGAGUCUGGGUGAUUACAGCUAUUGUGUCUUAUUUCCUUGGUAUACACUAAGCUUCUUGAGGAUAAAUAGGGAACAUGUUUUAUUUGUCUUUGGGUCCCCCAAAACAUGUAGGCUGGAGAGCCUGUAUAAGUAAAUCUCUGUUACUGAAAAAAAAUGUAAGUUAAUUAAAUAAAUAGGAAUACCCACAAAUAUCAUAGCAUAGCCUAGAAAUAUUUUCUUAAUGAGAAGUAGAAAAGAAAGGCUCUUCCAGGUGGACAAAACACCUAAGUACAUGGUUUGAUUCUCAAAGCACCAAGGCAGAGGCACUGGCUCAUCAGAUAACCAAACUCUUCUGGCUGUGUGCUAUUGUGCAGAACACAACCUCCAUAACUGUGCUAGGCAUGCCUGCCACUGACACACAGCAUCUUAGCUCCAGUGAAGCCUGAGGAGCAGGCUUCCUCAUAGCUCCCUCAUGGUUCUGCAUGUAAGUCAAGGGGACAGCUGUCCUGGGAGCCACUACACCACUAACCUAAGUAUCUAGACCACAGCCACAAAAUGAUAUACAACCUCCUCCAAUAUACUGUUAGGGAUCAACACCACCCUAUAUUAUGUCUCUGUUUACCUCAGGCACCGGCAGAAGCCUCACCAUUCCUCAACUAUUAAUCUCACACUAUUUUGUUCCAAUUCCUUUUUCUCUUAUAUCCAUAUCACUGGCCCUCCUAUAUCUGUGUCUUUAUGAAUUAGCUUACUCUCCCUAUCUUUUUCUUCUUCUCUUUUCAUUUCUACCACUUCCUGGACUUCAAUGAAAUUGAACUGUACCUCAAAUAAG